GUUAUGGAGAGCUCAUCAGGCCUGUACAGAAAACAGGGCUUCUGACUUGUUUGUUCUCAAAGGGCAAAUUGUUGUGCCUCAUUCGCACGUUAAUAAAAGUACUAUCCAGUAGUGGGCUUCCGUAUUGUCUCAGCCUCCACUGGAAAUGCAGCAAGGAUUCCUAGCACAUCCCAGUUGCCAUAGCAACAGCAGUCUUUCCCAUAAUGAGCUGCAUCAUCUGAACUGAUGUCACAGCAUCAUGCAGCAGGUCAAACAAGGCAUCUCCUAGUAUUGCAUCCUACAGAUGUGCUGUAAACAUCAAAAGAAGACGGUGGGAACAGGAGAUGGUGAGUUGGAAAGAAG